CAGUCGCCGCGGGAAAACGAAGGGUGCAAGCGUUACUCGGAAUUACUGGGCGUAAAGCGUGCGUAGGUGGUCUGACAAGUCAGAUGUGAAAUCCCCGGGCUUAACCUGGGAACUGCAUUUGAAACUGUCAGGCUGGAGUCUUGUAGAGGGGGGUGGAAUUCCAGGUGUAGCGGUGAAAUGCGUAGAGAUCUGGAGGAAUACCGGUGGCGAAGGCGGCCCCCUGGACAAAGACUGACGCUCAGGUGCGAAAGCGUGGGGAGCAAACAGGAUUAGAUACCCCAGUAGUCCCUGUCUCUUAUAC
rnacentral:rRNA from 1 species